rnacentral:rRNA from 1 species
UUCGCAAUGCCCGAAAGGGUGACGAAGCGACGCCGCGUGUGGGAAGAAGGCCUUCGGGUUGUAAACCACUGUCGGGAGUUAAGAAAUGUAAGGGUGUAAAUAGCGCCUUUGCUUGACAAAGGCUCCGGAGGAAGCCACGGCUAACUCUGUGCCAGCAGCCGCGGUAAUACAGAGGCGGCAAGCGUUGUUCGGAAUUAUUGGGCGUAAAGAGCACGUAGGCGGCUUUGCAAGUCAGUUGUGAAAGCCUUCCGCUUAACGGAAGAACAGCAGCUGAUACUACAGAGCUUGAGUACGGGAGGGGAGAGUGGAACUUCUGGUGGAGCGGUGAAAUGCGUAGAUAUCAGAAGGAACAUCGGCGGCGAAGGCGACUCUCUGGUCCGUAACUGACGCUGAGUGUGCGAAAGCUAGGGGAGCAAACGGGAUUAGAUACCCCGGUAGUCCUAGCCGUAAACGAUGGGCACUAAGUAGAGGGGUUUU